rnacentral:snRNA from 1 species
GGAUUUGAGGGCGAUCUGGCUUUGACAUCUGUCACCCCAUUGAUCACCAGUGCUUAUUUGGCUGAUCUGUUUGGCUGGGCAGGUGUCUGACCCGAAGCUGUGCACUCAUACUCAGUCAAACAGAACAACCAUCCUCAAUAGAGGACACACUUUGGUCAAGGGUAUAUGGGUAACUGUGAUCCCGUGCUAGAACCCCCAAGUAAGCUCUCAAAGGGGACUUUGGAUACAGAGACAGAAACAUAUAGAGGGAAGAAGAGGGGACGAGCAAGAAGAAGACACUGUCUCCAAGCCAAGGAGAGAGGCCUGGA